GGGGAAUUUUGGACAAUGGACGCAAGUCUGAUCCAGCCAUGCCGCGUGCGGGAAGAAGGCCUUCGGGUUGUAAACCGCUUUUGUCAGGGAAGAAAUCUUCUGGGUUAAUACCUCGGGAGGAUGACGGUACCUGAAGAAUAAGCACCGGCUAACUACGUGCCAGCAGCCGCGGUAAUACGUAGGGUGCAAGCGUUAAUCGGAAUUACUGGGCGUAAAGCGUGCGCAGGCGGUUUUGUAAGACAGAGGUGAAAUCCCCGGGCUCAACCUGGGAACUGCCUUUGUGACUGCAAGGCUUGAGUGCGGCAGAGGGGGAUGGAAUUCCGCGUGUAGCAGUGAAAUGCGUAGAUAUGCGGAGGAACACCGAUGGCGAAGGCAAUCCCCUGGGCCUGCACUGACGCUCAUGCACGAAAGCGUGGGGAGCAAAC
rnacentral:rRNA from 1 species